AUUUCAGGGACAGUGAUAAAUGCCUUCAAGAAUGUUUAGCAACAUGGUUGACAGAGGAUACUGAGGCAACAUGGAGCAAAUUAGCUGAUGCUGUUAGUAAAACUGGAGAAAAAGCUGUUGCAGCUUAUAUAAGACUAAGAACAGUGAAGAACAAAAGUGAACUGUAGCAUCUCUCCAAAAUUACAAUGACACAUACACAAUUUAGUAUUCAAAAUACAUGUACAUUAUGUGAUUGAUCUAUUCAGACAUUAUGAGCACCUUCAUAUGCAACCUUCAUGCUAGUUUGUAAUGAAUAAUUCCUUAUUAAGAUAAUGAAAAAUGCUUGCCCGUUCUUAUUUAUCUAAA